UACGUAGGGGGCUAGCGUUGUCCGGAAUCAUUGGGCGUAAAGAGCGUGUAGGCGGUCCGGUAAGUCCGCUGUGAAAGUCGGGGGCUCAACCCUCGAAUGCCGGUGGAUACUGUCGGGCUAGAGUGCGGAAGAGGCGAGUGGAAUUCCUGGUGUAGCGGUGAAAUGCGCAGAUAUCAGGAGGAACACCUAUUGCGAAGGCAGCUCGCUGGGACGUUACUGACGCUGAGACGCGAAAGCGUGGGGAGCAAGCAGG
rnacentral:rRNA from 1 species